GGUGAACGCUGGCGGCGUGCCUAAUACAUGCAAGUCGAGCGAACAGACGAGGAGCUUGCUCCUCUGACGUUAGCGGCGGACGGGUGAGUAACACGUGGAUAACCUACCUAUAAGACUGGGAUAACUUCGGGAAACCGGAGCUAAUACCGGAUAAUAUAUUGAACCGCAUGGUUCAAUAGUGAAAGACGGUUUUGCUGUCACUUAUAGAUGGAUCCGCGCCGCUUUAGCUAGUUGGUAAGGUAACGGCUUACCAAGGCAACGAUGCGUAGCCGACCUGAGAGGGUGAUCGGCCACACUGGAACUGAGACACGGUCCAGACUCCUACGGGAGGCAGCAGUAGGGAAUCUUCCGCAAUGGGCGAAAGCCUGACGGAGCAACGCCGCGUGAGUGAUGAAGGUCUUCGGAUCGUAAAACUCUGUUAUUAGGGAAGAACAAAUGUGUAAGUAACUAUGCACGUCUUGACGGUACCUAAUCAGAAAGCCACGGCUAACUACGUG
rnacentral:rRNA from 1 species